UGCACGAGCCAUCGCCAGCUCCCACAGACCCCCAUGACCCUGUGAUUUCAGUCUGUGAGGCCGAGGUGACAGCAUCCUUCAGGAGGGCAGGCUUUCCACGGAAAGCUUCGGUAGAGACCUGUGCUGAUCACUGAGAUUGUUAACCUCUCGCUUUGGCAGUCUGAGGUACCCACCUGCUUCAGAAUCUCAGGGUUGCAUACGGUAACAAAUGGAAGAACUCAGCAGGUCAGGCAGCAACCAUAGAGGGAAAUGAGUAGUCACAUUUCGACCCAAGACCAUCCAAAAUCUCCAGCAUCUGCAGGUGUUUUGUUUUUGACAAGAUCUGUUUGGAUUGCUUGCAAAAAAUAAUUUGUCCUCGGUACAUGGGACAAGAACCAGCGCCAGUAACAAAACUGGGUGUGCCUGCUUUCUGUGGAGAUGCUGAUCGACCACAGAAUUUCUCCUGCAUAUUGUUCGCCGUUCCAGAAUGAAGCAUCUGCUAUCUCUAGCGUCCCUCCUAAAGAAGAAAGAAGAAGAAGAAGAAGAAGAAGAAGAAAGACCUUAACUCCGAGUGGAGUCAUUAGGACACCGUCAUGACGGCGUUUUUUUAGCAGGCUUUCAUAUUUUUAUGAGGCUGAGUUGCUAGCUCGACGCUCAACCCAGCACGGGUGGAAAGCAUGCAAGGGAGCCGGCUGGAUUCGUACUCGGGAGCCUUCACUCCGAAGUCCGGCGCUGAUGCCACUAUGCCACUGUGUAAACUAUAUCUACACAGUUUGUUGUUUUUUUGCACAUUGGUUGUUUAUCUGCCUUGUUGUGUACAGUUUUUCAUUGAUUCUACUGUUUUCCUUCGUAUCUACUGUGAAUGCCCGCAAGAAAAUGACUCUCAGUGUGGUAUGUGGUGAUUACAUACAAUUCAAGGUUCAAAAAUCAAAGUAAAUUCUAUCGUCAAAGUACACGUAUGUCACUAUAUACAACACUGAGAUUCAUUUUCUUGUGGGCAUACUCAGCUAGUCUAUAGAACAGUAACUAUAACAGGAUCAAUGACGGAUCAACCGGAGUGCAGAAGCCAGCAAACUGUGCAAGUGCAAAUUUAAAAAAAAAACAAUAAGUAACAAGAACAUGAGAUGAAUAGUCCUUGAGAGAGAGAUUAUUGGUGUAGGAAUCUUUCAAUGAUGAGAUAAGAAAGUGUAGUUGUCACCUUUUAUUCAAGAGCCUGAUGGUUGAGAGAUAGGCUCUUGAAUAAAAGGUGAUUACUACACCCAAUUGUCCCAUCGUUGAGAUGUUCUUACACCAAUGUACUUUGGUAAUAAAUUUAUUUUGAACUUUGAACUAUUGAACAUGACUGUAGGAGACAGGAGCUGACCUUAUAUAGAUAAAUAAAAUCGUGAAGGGUGUAGAUAAAUUUGAUGGUCUUGGUAUUUUGUGUGUUGUUUGUGAUUUCUAGCAUCUGAAGAAUCUAGAGUUUAUCAAUGGAUAGGGUGUUGGAAGCUAGCAUGAACCCAAAGGAAUGAAUGGCCAAUACAUUUCAGGACAUAUGCUAGUGAACCUCCAAGUGAACCACAACCUUGUCAUAGGGUUUGGAGGCUUUCAUGCCUUGAUGACCUAUGAGAGCUAUGCUGGCUGGAGUCAGGGCUUUAUGCUUUGGCUCUUGGCACAAUCACUCAUGCUAAGCAGGUCAAAGGUCAGAGGCCAGACUAAGAGUGGCCCCACUGGUCCUCCAGGUUCAGGGGUUCAGCUCAGGGCUAACAAUGCUGACAGGUCCAAAAAUAUUGUUGUGGAAACGGCAAUGAACAAUCUUUCUCUUACUGUAUGUGAUGGUAUGGACCUUCCUUGCUGCCCUAAACACCAGUGGCAUAAUGAGCGAACUGCUGCCAGUGAUAUUAAACUUGAUUCUGAUUCAUAUUCUGAUUUUUCUAUGCCUGAGUAACUGUUUGCAGAACAAAUAUAAAUGUAUAAUUGAGUAUAAGCUUAGAUAAAUGAAUCUUUUAUAUUAAAGUAAA